AUGUCUCCACUCAGGGCUGAUACCACACAGUCUGCUCCCCUACUCUGGUCUGGAGAAGUGGGCAAAAUCUUGCUCAUUAAAAGCAAGCGCAGGGAGCAGAUGGGAACCAUUACAACUCAGAGAGCCAAAGGAAGAGGAAAGCCUGAGGUUCUGCUGCCCCUGCAAGUGCUCACAGGACAGCCACCAGCACCAGACACCUGUCCCCAGAGCAGUGGGACGGCGCAGGUGCUAUGGAGGGCCCACCAAAGUCUUGGGAGCCGAAGGACUGAAGUAGAUGACGGCAUGAAAGGUGAGUGUAAAUGCGGCAGUGAAGUCCUCUGCACCCUUAGGUGGUGAC
rnacentral:lncRNA from 1 species